CAGUACGGUCGGAAAUCGUACGUAGAGUGUAAAGGCAAAAGAGAGCUUGAUUGCAAGACUUACAGGGCGAGCAAGGAGGAAAAUCGGACUUAGUGAUCCGGUUGUUCUGCGUGGAAGGGCCAUCGCUCAACGGAUAAAAGCUACCCUGGGGAUACCAGGCUUAUCGCCCCCAAGAGUCCACAUCGACGGGGAGGUUUGGCACCUCGAUGUCGGCUAAUCACAUCCUGGGGCUGUAGUAGGUCCCAAGGGUUGGGCUGUUCGCCCAUUAAAGUGGUACGCGAGCUGGGUUCAGA
rnacentral:rRNA from 1 species